rnacentral:rRNA from 1 species
GAUGAACGCUGGCGGCGUGCCUAAUACAUGCAAGUCGAGCGAACAGACGAGGAGCUUGCUCCUCUGACGUUAGCGGCGGACGGGUGAGUAACACGUGGAUAACCUACCUAUAAGACUGGGAUAACUUCGGGAAACCGGAGCUAAUACCGGAUAAUAUAUUGAACCGCAUGGUUCACUAGUGAAAGACGGUUUUGCUGUCACUUAUAGAUGGAUCCGCGCCGCAUUAGCUAGUUGGUAAGGUAGCGGCUUACCAAGGCAACGAUGCGUAGCCGACCUGAGAGGGUGAUCGGCCACACUGGAACUGAGACACGGUCCAGACUCCUACGAGAGGCAGCAGUAGGGAAUCUUCCGCAAUGGGCGAAAGCCUGACGGAGCAACGCCGCGUGAGUGAUGAAGGUCUUCGGAUCGUAAAACUCUGUUAUUAGGGAAGAACAAAUGUGUAAGUAACUAUGCACGUCUUGACGGUACCUAAUCAGAAAGCCACGGCUAACUACGUG